GCCCGAGUGGCGGAACAGGCAGACGCACAGGACUUAAAAUCCUGCGAGGUUCACCCCUCGUACCGGUUCGACCCCGGUCUCGGGCACCA
rnacentral:tRNA from 1 species